rnacentral:rRNA from 1 species
UAGAGUUUGAUCCUGGCUCAGAUUGAACGCUGGCGGCAGGCCUAACACAUGCAAGUCGAGCGGCAGCACAAGUAAGUUUACUUAUGAGGUGGCGAGCGGCGGACGGGUGAGUAAUGCCUAGGGAUCUGCCCAGUCGAGGGGGAUAACAGUUGGAAACGACUGCUAAUACCGCAUACGCCCUACGGGGGAAAGGAGGGGACCUUCGGGCCUUCCGCGAUUGGAUGAACCUAGGUGGGAUUAGCUAGUUGGUGAGGUAAUGGCUCACCAAGGCGACGAUCCCUAGCUGUUCUGAGAGGAUGAUCAGCCACACUGGGACUGAGACACGGCCCAGACUCCUACGGGAGGCAGCAGUGGGGAAUAUUGCACAAUGGGGGAAACCCUGAUGCAGCCAUGCCGCGUGUGUGAAGAAGGCCUUCGGGUUGUAAAGCACUUUCAGUAGGGAGGAAAGGUUGUAAGUUAAUACCUUGCAGCUUGUGACGUUACCUACAGAAGAAGGACCGGCUAACUCCGUGCCAGCAGCCGCGGUAAUACGGAGGGUCCAAGCGUUAAUUGGAAUUACUGGGCGUAAAGCGUGCGCAGGCGGUUUGUCAAGCGAGAUGUGAAAGCCCCGGGCUCAACCUGGGAAUUGCAUUUCGAACUGGCAAACUAGAGUCUUGUAGAGGGGGGUAGAAUUCCAGGUGUAGCGGUGAAAUGCGUAGAGAUCUGGAGGAAUACCGGUGGCGAAGGCGGCCCCCUGGACAAAGACUGACGCUCAGGCCCGAAAGCGUGGGGAGCAAACA